GGGACCAAGGGUAGCUGCAGUCUAUCUAUCUGCAGUCCAGUGACCUGGAGGGAUCAGAGGCAGGAAGGAGAGAGAGCAACUCCAGAAAGAACCACACCAGCAAGGAAUAGCUCUGCUACUUUUCCAGAAAAUCACAUCAUCAGCAACUGACCAAGUUCCUACAGAGCCAGGGCAGAGAAUCAGAGAGAUGAUUGAUUCUCCAUGCCUGGCCUCUUUUGUUCCACGUAUGUUUGUGAAGUGUGUCCAUGAUGCUGUACACAGCGAUAGCUCACUCAUUGCUGAUAAUGAAGCCCAGCAGCUUACCCAUUUCACUGCAGUAAACAACAUAUUGCUUCUUGUUUGUGUGUCCUGAAUCACAGAGACAUGCACUGUACACUUCCGUGAGUUUGGACAGUUGCCUACAUUUAUACAAACGACCACCUCUGGACUCACUGCUGUUCCAGCUUCUGCAAAUGCUAAGCUCAGCGUUUCCCCACACCAGGUCCGUGUGCUAAAGGUUUUAUUACAGCAUUUCCUAUGCAUGGUUGUAUGCAGUGGACAAUCUUGUCUGCCUGGUUUCAGUGCCUUUCAGACUUGUCCAAACUCUUGCAAGAAUCGAUUGAAUGUACUUAUUGCUGAAUAGAAUUCUAGUAAAAAGUGUUUCUCCAUUCACGA
ensembl:lincRNA Gm10419 predicted gene 10419